rnacentral:rRNA from 1 species
AUUGAACGCUGGCGGCAUGCCUUACACAUGCAAGUCGAACGGCAGCACGGGUGCUUGCACCUGGUGGCGAGUGGCGAACGGGUGAGUAAUACAUCGGAACGUACCUUAUCGUGGGGGAUAACGCAGCGAAAGUUGCGCUAAUACCGCAUACGCCCUGAGGGGGAAAGCGGGGGACCGUAAGGCCUCGCGCGAUUAGAGCGGCCGAUGUCUGAUUAGCUGGUUGGUGAGGUAAAAGCUCACCAAGGCGAUGAUCAGUAGCUGGUCUGAGAGGACGAUCAGCCACACUGGGACUGAGACACGGCCCAGACUCCUACGGGAGGCAGCAGUGGGGAAUUUUGGACAAUGGGGGCAACCCUAAUCCAGCAAUGCCGCGUGAGUGAAGAAGGCCUUCGGGUUGUAAAGCUCUUUUGUCAGGGAAGAAACAGCAGCUCUAACACAGUCUGCGAAUGACGGUACCUGAAGAAUAAGCACCGGCUAACUACGUGCCAGCCGCCGCAGUAA